UGUGAAGUGGGCUUAAAGGUGGGAGUGGAAACACAGCCUCCUCAUCACAUUCCCCACCCUCAUCUUCUAGCAGUGAGGGUAAGCCAUCAAAUUUCUCAUGGCACCAAGGAUUCAAGCAAUGGGGUAAUGGAGAUCCUGGACAUUUAUUUUCUCACCAGUGAAAAUUAAUGAAGACCCAGGAGUUACUACAGCAUUAGUGAUGAGAAGGAAGUUUUAGCAGCUAGGGUGUGUUGAAACACAGCACUUUCCUCCUGUCAAGAAAUAACUCCACCAACAUAUAUGACUCCAAAAAGCCAUCUGGAUUUGCCUCUAGCAGUGUUGCAAGCUUGCUAAUGAGGACAACUUUUAACAGAAACCAUACUAGAAACAAUUUUUCUCCAAAGAUGAUUGUUUAGAUACUCAAAGAGUUUGCUUUUCCACCAAGAUUACUUGGUAGAACUCCCACCUAAGUUUCCAGCCUUCGGACUUGCAUUUCCC
rnacentral:lncRNA from 1 species